GCCCCCGGAGGCCUUCAAACACUGCAUCUUUGCGUCGGAGUAAAAGUUAAUUAAACAAAACUUUCAACAACGGAUCUCUUGGUUCUGGCAUCGAUGAAGAACGCAGCGAAAUGCGAUAAGUAAUGUGAAUUGCAGAAUUCAGUGAAUCAUCGAAUCUUUGAACGCACAUUGCGCCCUUUGGUAUUCCGAAGGGCAUGCCUGUUCGAGCGUCAUUUCACCACUCAAGCCUCGCUUGGUAUUGGGCGCCGCGGUUUUCCGCGCGCCUCAAAGUUUCCGGCUGAGCUGUCCGUCUCUAAGCGUUGUGAUACAUAUUCGCUUCGGAGUGCGGGCGGUCGCGGCCGUUAAAUCUUCACAAGGUGA
rnacentral:rRNA from 1 species